UUUCACAGGAGUCACAUCACAAACCGAAUGAGAAAACAAACGACAUUGCGGGUUCAGAGCCACUCGACAAUGCAAGAAUGUUUCCAUAUCGGUCUCAGUCAUGUGACUCUUAUUUAAAGAUGAUGGACCAUUUUGAACCACUGAAAAUGGCACAAUCCUCAAGUCAACUUGUGACAUUCAAGAACAACAGGAUUGCUUCUCCAUCCCCAAAACUUACAAGAAAGAGAAAAGACCAAAGUGUGACCAGAAAUCCCUCUAGAAGCCGUGGCAGACAGAAAAGGGGCUAGACAAAACCUCAGCCCUAUCAGCCAAGACAACCUACAUGAAGAUGCGAAGACCAAUGACAUCUCCCUCUAAAUGAUGUGAUGAUUGUACCUCAUUCAUCUUAGCUCCUCAUUGGUUGAUUUUUAGUUUAUAUCUUUUAGCAUAUUUUUCAUACCACACGAGUCAAAAUAAUCUGUCACACAGUUAAGAGCAUGAGACACAUGACACAUUCACGUGUUUGAAACACUACAGACCAAUGGAAUAUCAGGAUGCCCAAACCGUUAGUAGCUUUACUUGAGAUCAUAGAUUUAGACAAUACACUACCAAUCAAACAUGUUUUUUUUUCUUUAUUUUUACUACUAUCAAAUAUAUGAAGUAAGAUAUAUGGAAUUGUGUAGUAAAAAGGUAAACAUUUUUAAACUAUAUUUUGUAUUCACAUUCUCAAAGUAGCCACCCUUUGCACUGUUGAAAAAUAUAUAGCUUUUCUUAACCUUAUAAUUACAUAAAUCUUGCUUCAUAUAUUUUCUAUUGUCUUCUGUAUGUAUAUAAAAUGUAGAAAGUAGU